UACGUAGGGUGCAAGCGUUGUCCGGAAUUAUUGGGCGUAAAGAGCUCGUAGGCGGUCUGUCGCGUCUGCUGUGAAAACUCAGGGCUUAACCCUGAGCUUGCAGUGGGUACGGGCAGACUAGAGUGCGGUAGGGGAGACUGGAAUUCCUGGUGUAGCGGUGAAAUGCGCAGAUAUCAGGAGGAACACCGGUGGCGAAGGCGGGUCUCUGGGCCAUAACUGACGCUGGAGAAGCGAAAAGCAUGGGGAGCGAACAGG
rnacentral:rRNA from 1 species